GGCUUGUGGCUCAGUGGUAGAGCACUUGCCUUGCAUGUGUGCAGCACUGGGGUCAAUUCUCAGCACCA
rnacentral:tRNA from 1 species